CUUCCCUGGGGUCGAGAGCAGCCCCUCCAGGAACCGAAGACGCACUGCUCCCGAGAGCCUCGGAGGAGCGCCCUUCUCAGGCUGCUGACGCCCGGCUCGCCCUGUCAGCUGCUCUGUGGUUUCUGCCUCGAAAAGGAAGUAAUAAAUCUUUCUGGCCCAGAGGUCAAAGAAGACGCUUCAACUUUCCUGGAGUGCACCGCGGGGAGACUUCUGCGCGUUUACCGGACCUGUAUACCGGGCUGCUUCGUUUUUAUUACGCCGCCGGCAGAGAACUAACCUCCCGCUUCAGAGAGCUGCGUCCGCGGUGACUGAAGUCCUCCGGAAUUGGGGUGAUGGCGGAGGAGGCGACUCUGUUCUAAUUUACAGCAAAACACUUGUCCCGUUUCUUGGCUUUUAGAGAUGAGAUCAAAGACCCUAGUCUCAAAGGAAACACUGUCGUUGAAAAUCGAAAGUCAUUUUUUAGCUAGUUUAAGUACUUUUUGUCAAAGAGAGAAUCCUAAGCCACAUCCUCAACUUCAUCUGUAAAAUGGGGACAACUAUCUGCUAAAGAGAGACCGGAGAGAAGUUAGAGCGCGCAUGGGAAAGGUAAAACCCCAGCGCAGGGCUGCGGGUGAGAAGACAAAUUGCUGUGGGACCAGAAGCUCAGUGGCCGCGGGCACAGUGAGGACCUCGAAGAGGUGACCCUUUGGAGUCGUUACUAACAAAUUUGAAGUUGCUGCAAAAUUACUGUUGUUCUACUUGAGGCAGCCUCUCUCCGCCAGGAGACCUACCUAAAUUUAAGAUGUUGCCGUUAGAGCCAUUAUUCUACAUGAAGUUACAGAAUCUUCCAAAUCUAAGUGGAAUCAUCAGUCACCAUCAUUCACAUGGCCGUUACUCGCUCCAGUCUCGCUGGACAAAGGGGCCCUCAGAGGACUGCAACCCAAUUCUGCAUGGGCUUCCAGAUCUCUGCCAAGAGAACCUGGUUUGCCGCGGCCAGGUGUCAGAGCACUUCACAAAUGAUGCAAUUUUUGAAAAGUUUCUAUGA
rnacentral:lncRNA from 1 species